rnacentral:rRNA from 1 species
CAGCAGCCGCGGUAACACGUAGGUGGCAAGCGUUGUCCGGAAUUAUUGGGCGUAAAGGGCUCGCAGGCGGUUUCUUAAGUCUGAUGUGAAAGCCCCCGGCUGAACCGGGGAGGGUCAUUGGAAACUGGGAAGCUUGAGUGCAGAAGAGGAGAGUGGAAUUCCACGUGUAGCGGUGAAAUGCGUAGAGAUGUGGAGGAACACCAGUGGCGAAGGCGACUCUCUGGUCUGUAACUGACGCUGAGGAGCGAAAGCGUGGGGAGCGAACAGGAUUAGAUACCCCCGUAGUCCCUGUCUCUUAUAC